rnacentral:rRNA from 1 species
GAUGAACGCUGGUGGCGUGCCUAACGCAUGCAAGUCGAGCGAUUCUCUUCGGAGAAGAGCGGCGGACGGGUGAGUAACGCGUGGGUAACCUGCCCUGUACACACGGAUAACAUACCGAAAGGUAUGCUAAUACGAGAUAACAUGCUUUUAUCGCAUGGUAGAAGUAUCAAAGCUUUUGCGGUACAGGAUGGACCCGCGUCUGAUUAGCUAGUUGGUGAGGUAACGGCUCACCAAGGCGACGAUCAGUAGCCGACCUGAGAGGGUGAUCGGCCACAUUGGAACUGAGACACGGUCCAAACUCCUACGGGAGGCAGCAGUGGGGAAUAUUGCACAAUGGGCGAAAGCCUGAUGCAGCAACGCCGCGUGAGCGAUGAAGGCCUUCGGGUCGUAAAGCUCUGUCCUCAAGGAAGAUAAUGACGGUACUUGAGGAGGAAGCCCCGGCUAACUACGU